GCAUAUCAAUAAGCGGAGGAAAAGAAACUAACAAGGAUUCCCUUAGUAACGGCGAGUGAAGCGGGAAGAGCUCAAAUUUGAAAUCUUCAAGGUUCUACCUUGACGAAUUGUAGUUUAAAGAAGUGUUUUCUGUUAGAUGAGUAGCAAAAGUUCCUUGGAAUGGGACAUCAUAGAGGGUGAGAAUCCCGUAUUUGGUUAUUCAUUCUAGCUUUGUGAUACACUUUCAAAGAGUCGGAUUGUUUGGGAAUGCAGUCCAAAGUGGGUGGUAAAUUUCAUCUAAAGCUAAAUAUUGGCGAGAGACCGAUAGCGAACAAGUACCGUGAGGGAAAGAUGAAAAGAACUUUGAAAAGAGAGUUAAACAGUACGUGAAAUUGUCAAAAGGGAAGCGUUUGACACCAGUGUUGUUUUUCCGAAAAUCAAUUACGAAUGGCUUGAUUUUGUGUUGUAUUGACCUUAUCAGCUUUCUGCACUUUUUUCGAGUCUUUCUUAAUGCACUUUUCGGUUAACAAGUCAACAUCAAUUUCUUUUGUUGUAAAAGAGUAUUCGGAAGGUGGCUUUCUUUUCGGAGAGAGUGUUUAUAGCCCUAUACUUCUACAAUCGGAGAGAUUGAGGUCUGCAGCGUAGAUCCUUCGGGGUUAGAUACACUUGUGCUAAGUUGUAGCUUUUCAUAGACAACUUGUUGACUAUGUUUAGUCAUGCGGCUUACUCGCUUGUGCUAUUUUACCUACGCUUAGGAUGUUGACAAGAUGGUUUUAAACGACCCGUCUUGAAACACGGACC
rnacentral:rRNA from 1 species